GAAAACUUUAGUAGCAAUCCUUAAUAAUAUUGAGUUUGUACGUUAUUAUACAUUUGAUUUCGCGAUGUGGCAACGUGUUUGUGAUUCCAUAUUGGCCGUCAACUGAUCCCGAGAUUAUCUUCGCUUGAUAUUCGGUUGAAAUGCAAUUAGCCGAACUGAAUGAUAAGGUUUCGAUGUGGUUUCUGCUGGUUCAUCGUGCUCGCUCCAUGCUUUUUUUCGAUUUAUGUUACUGUACAGGACCCAUUUUUCACCACCGGUGAUGAUUCUUCUCAAGAAAGGAUCGUUUAAGGCGCCUAUCGCAAAUAUUGAUUGUUUGUGUUAAAUAAAUUAGUGAAGUACCUAAAAAUCAA